rnacentral:tRNA from 1 species
GCAGUGAUGGCCGAGUGGUUAAGGCGUCUGACUAGAAAUCAGAUGGGAUCUUCCCGCGUAGGUUCGAAUCCUACUCACUGCA